UGUUCUUCUUUUCAGCUCUUCAUUCAACGUCCAACAGACAGUAAGUGCAAUAACUCCCUGCAGCUAUUAUGACAUUCUGUGUGAUCUGGCUCCAGUACCUGCUGAUAAGGCUGUCCGAGACUAUUGGCUAGUCUUGAACAUAUAUAAAUGGGAGCAGCUGCUGCAGAUGAGUGCUCCCCCGACUCCUCCCUGAUGUCCUCUGAUAGGCUUCUGGACUGCCUUGUGUCUGGUGCAGGCUGCGCAUCUAAUUGGCUCCCUUCUGUUACUAUGGAGCUGCGUCCUCUCCCGGCUAUGGCUUCCGCUCCCGGGGCUUACAACAGCUCAGCUGGAGCCUCUCUGGCCAUCUCUCCAGACCGCUCAGCUCCUUUCUGCUGCCUUCACUGCAAUGCCGCACGCUGGCACACCCGGAGCCCUCCUGGCCGCUCUCCUCUGUCUGCCAGCAGCACCUCUACCUCCUCCUCCACCGCCCCCCUUCGGGAACGGGUAAUAGAUGCUGCCUAUGAUAUGUCAGUAUCCUGUUUUCUCCUGACUCAGGCUUGAUCUUGUAUACAGCUCUUCAUUCAACGUCCAACAGACAGUAAGUGCAAUAACUCCCUGCAGCUAUUAUGACAUUCUGUGUGAUCUGGCUCCAGUACCUGCUGAUAAGGCUGUCCGAGACUAUUGGCUAGUCUUGAACAUAUAUAAAUGGGAGGUAAAUAAGUUCUUCUCUCCCUCUAUAAUGGCUUUACUGUAAUGGUAAUAUUCACUAUAGCCAAUUGUUAUUUCUGUC